UACAGAGGGGGCGAGCGUUGUUCGGAAUUACUGGGCGUAAAGGGCGCGUAGGCGGCCUGCUAAGUCGAACGUGAAAUCCCCGGGCUCAACCCGGGAACUGCGUCCGAUACUGGAUGGCUCGAGAUUGGGAGAGGGACGCGGAAUUCCAGGUGUAGCGGUGAAAUGCGUAGAUAUCUGGAGGAACACCGGUGGCGAAGGCGGCGUCCUGGACCAACACUGACACUGAUGAGCGAAAGCCAGGGGAGCAAACGGG
rnacentral:rRNA from 1 species